rnacentral:rRNA from 1 species
UACGUAGGUGGCAAGCGUUGUCCGGAUUUAUUGGGCGUAAAGGGAGCGCAGGCGGUGACUUAAGUCUGAUGUGAAAGCCCACGGCUCAACCGUGGAAGGUCAUUGGAAACUGGGUCACUUGAAUAUAGAAGAGGAAAGUGGAAUUCCAUGUGUAGCGGUGAAAUGCGUAGAGAUCGGGAGGAACACCAGUGGCGAAGGCGGGUAACUGGACUGCAACUGACGCUGAGGCGCGAAAGUGUGCGGAGCAAACAGGAUUAGAUACCCCUGUA